AAUUUCUUGAGAAAAUAUAACACAGUGCAACAGGUGCCACUGUUGUGAGCUCUUGACGGCAACUUCGCCUGCGUGCUCGUUCUCCUCUUCAUAAUUCCACAAGAACUUCGAAGCCGUUCAAUCAUUCGGUCAGAUUACUCGAAAAGCCGCUAUGAUUCCACGAUUCAGUGUUAAGAACACCAAAUUCAUCAAGCUAUUCACAUCGAUCAGAAGUAUCACAACCACUGAUUCGCUGUUCCACCACCGCUUCUUAACUCCACUUCCGCCUAAACCCUCUCUAGAACCCCACGCCGCCGCCCGCUCCGCCGGAUUCAUCCUUUGGUUUUCUCAGAAGCGCCACAGUUGGAAAGGGGCCUCCGACUAUGAUUACAUUAGGGCUGAUGUCAAUUGUCCAAGGUGCUCCAAGCAAAUGCCUGUCAUCUUCUCCAAUCGUCCCUUGUCCAUUACGGGUCGGGAGACAGGCGUCUAUCAUGCCCUAAAUCUCUGCCCCAAUUGCAAAACUGCAUUCUAUUUUAGACCCUUCAAGUUGGUUCCAUUACAGGGUACUUUUAUUGAGAUUGGUAGGGUUAAGGGCGCCAGGGACUUGGAUAACAUUGUGGAAAAUGAAUCGUGUCAACCUACGAAAGGAGAUAUUGGCGCCAAUUCUGCUGAUGAUUCUGCGUUGCCUCCACGGUGGAAAGGUAGCUGUGGCGGUGGCCAUGGUAGCUUGGGUUUGGUGGAGAGUAACGGUGUUCCGAAGGACGAGGCCAAUUCAGGAAGGCAGUUGCUAACUCCCAAGGAAAUUUCUGAGGCUCUGGACAAGUUCAUCGUUGGACAAGAAAAAGCCAAGAAGGCGCUUUCUGUGGCAGUAUACAACCACCAUAAGAGGAUAUAUCAUGCCUCAUUGCAGAAAACGUUAGUUUGGCAAGGAUCGCUGGGGAUUGAAUUGGAGAAUGAUGAUAAUGAAAUUGUGGAACUGGAAAAGAGUAAUGUGUUGCUAAUGGGUCCUACAGGCUCAGGGAAGACAUUACUUGCAAAAACCCUUGCUCGUGUUGUGAACGUACCCUUCACCAUUGCUGAUGCUACUGCGUUAACGCAGGCAGGUUAUGUUGGAGAAGAUGUGGAAUCAAUAUUAUACAAGCUCCUUCUGGAUGCAGAGUUCAAUGUAGAAGCAGCUCAACGAGGGAUAGUAUAUAUUGAUGAAGUGGAUAAGAUAACUAAGAAGAGUGAGAACGUAAACUCUGGCAGAGAUGUAUCUGGGGAGGGGGUCCAGCAGGCACUUCUGAAAAUGCUUGAAGGAACCGUAGUGGAUGUUCCUGACAAAGGUGCUCGAAAGCAUCCUCAAGGUGAUACAAUUCAGAUUGAUACAAAAAAUAUUCUCUUCAUAUGUGGUGGUGCAUUUGUUGGCUUGGAGAAGUGCAUCUCUGACAGGCAGCAUGAUUCUUCAAUCGGCUUUGGAGCACCAGUUCGUGCUAGCAUGAGAACUGGUGGAUUGACAGAUGAUAUAGUGACAUCGUCGAUACUGGAAUCUGUAGAAAGCAGUGAUCUUGUUACUUACGGCCUCAUACCCGAAUUCGUCGGACGAUUUCCUAUUCUUGUGAGUUUGUCAGCUUUGAAUGAGGACCAACUUGUUCAGGUUCUUACGAAACCGAAAAAUGCGCUUGGUAAGCAGUACAAGAAGAUGUUUAGAAUGAAUGAUGUCGAAUUACAUUUCACUGAGAAUGCUUUAAGAAUGAUUGCGAGGAAAGCAAUGAAAAAGAACACAGGUGCUAGAGGAUUAAGAUCCAUUUUAGAACACAUUCUGACAGAAGCUAUGUUUGAGUGGUUGGUUAGUUUGAAUGCUGGAAAGUGGUGCCUGCCGCCAACUGAAUUCAUUAUGUUCAGGUUCCAGAAAGUAAGAGCAUAAGGGCUGUUCUGGUUGAUGAAGAAGCUGUUGGAUCAGUGGACGGUCCAGGAUGCGGAGCCAAAGUUCUUUAUGAUGUUGAUGAAGAAUUAAAGCAAUGUUCAAAAAGUGGAAUAGUCAUAAAUCUGAAGGGAAAUGGUUUGUUGGCGGAGGACGAGGGUCGGUUCUCGAAUGGAGUCGAGUUUCCAUCCAUAACUAUGAGAUUGUAAAUGCUUUCCGGCGAUCAUGUAAGUAAGUUUAUUGGACAGAUCAGUAUCAAUCAAUAAUAAAAGGUUAUGAAGUAAGUAGAGAAGUUAUGUGGACUUAUGAAGUAUGUUGCCAUUGUAAAUGCAUAAUAAAAAUUUUCUUCUUAUCUUAGUCCACAUAUUUUGAAUCCCAAGAAGGAAUUUAGCUUAUAUUAAAUAAUGUAAUAUGAAAAAAUAGGUUUUAUU